rnacentral:lncRNA from 1 species
GAGCAGAGAAGAUAUGUGACAGAAACAAAUUCUGACCUCUUAGGUUUGAACUGAUAAGGAAAAAACUUCUGAGACAUGAACACCAGAAGGGAUGACUGACUGCAACAGUUCUGCCCUAGGCUUUUGCAGUUUAUUCAGUAAGGCAUCAUCAUCUCCAAAAGAUGAGAGUGUGUGACAGAUGUAACAGCACAUUGCGUGAACAGAUUACUCAGUGGAGUCACAGAUGCAUCUAGCAAGACUCUGUAAUGUCAUCUGCUACCAGUCAAGUGCCCUUCUCCCACAAUGCAGUGAUUACAGAGUUCUGAAAAUAAACUAAGAAAAAGGAGGAAGGAAAGGAAAUUUGAACCUAAAAAAAAAAAAAACACAGGACACAUGAGAGGUAUUUAAGACAAUGACCAGAGUCUCAGAACUGGCAUUCAUUCUCCAGCCAUGCUGAGGAGAGGAAGGCAUUCAUUCUCCAGCCAUGCAUGCUGUGGAGAAGCAGAAGUCUGACUUGGUGAGAGCUCAUGGAGACAGGAUCAGCCCUUUAAGCCUGAGGUAGAGGUAAUUGCAGCAGCAUGUUAUGAGCUGGCAAACAUUGAAAGCAACAAGGUAUCCUGUCAUGGACCAGUGUUUGUGGCACUGUGGUUGGGGACCAGCCAAGCAGCCCCAG